rnacentral:rRNA from 1 species
GACGAACGCUGGCGGCGUGCUUAACACAUGCAAGUCGAACGGAAAGGCCCUGCUUUUGUGGGGUGCUCGAGUGGCGAACGGGUGAGUAACACGUGAGUAACCUGCCCUUGACUUUGGGAUAACUUCAGGAAACUGGGGCUAAUACCGGAUAGGAGCUCCUGCUGCAUGGUGGGGGUUGGAAAGUUUCGGCGGUUGGGGAUGGACUCGCGGCUUAUCAGCUUGUUGGUGGGGUAGUGGCUUACCAAGGCUUUGACGGGUAGCCGGCCUGGGAGGGUGACCGGCCACAUUGGGACUGAGAUACGGCCCAGACUCCUACGGGAGGCAGCGGUGGGAAAUAUUGCAGAAUGGACGGAAGCCUGAUGCAGCAACGCCGCGUGCGGGAUGACGGCCUUCGAGUUGUAAACCGCUUUCGCCUGUGAGGGAGCGUGAGUGACGGUAAUGGGUAAAGAAGCACCGGCUAACUACGUG